UACCUUGGCUUUAGGAUUCUCCGAGGUGACAAGCACGGUGGAAGACUCGGGUUCUUCGAAGAAGGGAAGUUACAGGGGAAGAAUGGAGCUGGGACUUAAAGGCAGGGGAUGCGAAGCCAGUGUAGCGUUCCAUCCUGACAAGCACAGCAAUGGCGACUCACGUCUGCGCUGCGUUGUGUUCUGCCUGAUCUCUACGCAAAGGCAAAGAAGCACGUCCUAGUGUCUGAAAAGGCUGGAUCGGAUGGACUUCAAGCGGGAGAUGGAAAACAGGCUUCUAAAGCAGCUCGUGCUUCAAGCAGCUAAAGCAUUCAUCUCGAAGUUAAGGACCUUUAAAAUUUUUAACUGUUUUAAGGAUCUUAGCAUAUUCGUUGGGGA